UCCAGACUCCUACGGGAGGCAGCAGUGGGGGAUAUUGCACAAUGGGCGCAAGCCUGAUGCAGCGACGCCGCGUGAGCGAAGAAGUAUUUCGGUAUGUAAAGCUCUAUCAGCAGGGAAGAAAAUGACGGUACCUGACUAAGAAGCUCCGGCUAAAUACGUGCCAGCAGCCGCGGUAAUACGUAUGGAGCAAGCGUUAUCCGGAUUUACUGGGUGUAAAGGGAGCGCAGGCGGCCUUGCAAGUCUGAUGUGAAAGGCCGGGGCCCAACCCCGGGACUGCAUUGGAAACUGCGAGGCUGGAGUGUCGGAGAGGCAGGCGGAAUUCCUAGUGUAGCGGUGAAAUGCGUAGAUAUCAGGAGGAACACCGGUGGCGAAGGCGGCUUACUGGACUGUAACUGACGUUGAGGCUCGAAAGCGUGGGGAGCAAACAGGAUUAGAUACCCGCGUA
rnacentral:rRNA from 1 species